UGGAGCCUACUCUGUCACCCAGGCUGGAGUGCAGUGGUGCAAUCUCAGCUCACUGCAACCUCCGCCUCCAGAGUUCAAGCGAUUCUCGUGCCUCAGCUUCCUGAGUAGCUGGGAUUACAGGCACCGGGUACCACCCCCGGCUCAUUUUUGUCUUUUUAGUAGUGAUGGGUUUCGCCAUGUUGGCCAGUCUGGUUUCAAACUCCUGACUUCACGUGACCACCAGCCUCAGCCUCCCAAAGUGCUGGGAUUACAGGCGUGAGCCACCGAGACCAGCCUCACCUCAUUCACUCUUACCUGGACGCCUGACUUUACUUGAGAUACAGGCAUAGUGAUUCUCAGCAGGAAACAGCCUGCCCCCACGUCACGCCCAGAGACCCAUCACUGGCUGCCUGGCUUGGUGACAAAGUCCAUGGAUUUCUAAUCAGAAACAUGGAGGCCAGGAAGCAGUGGAGAAUGACGACCCUCAGGCAGCCCUGGAGGAUGCUGUCACAGGCUGGGGCAACGGCCUUCAGGCUACCAACUGGGAGCUCUGGGAACAGCCCUGUUGCAAACAGGAAGUCAUGGCCCGGCCAGAGCCCAGAAUGUGGGCUGAGCUGGGAUCCAUGUGACAGCUUUGAGGCUCACCGGGAGCAGCCUCUGGACAGGAGAGGUCCCAUCCAGGAAACCUCGGGCAUGGCUGGGAAGUGGGGUACUUGGUGCCGGGUCUGUAUGUGUGUGUGACUGGUGUGUGUGAGAGAGAAUGUGUGCCCUGAGUGUCAGUGUGAGUCUGUGUAUGUGUGAAUAUUGUCUUUGUGUGGGUGAUUUUCUGCAUGUGUAAUCGUGUCCCUGCAAGUGUGAACAAGUGGACAAGUGUCUGGGAGUGGACAAGAGAUCUGUGCACCAUCAGGUGUGUGCAUAGCGUCUGUGCAUGUCAAGAGUGCAAGGUGAAGUGAAGGGACCAGGCCCAUGAUGCCACUCAUCAUCAGGAGCUCUAAGGCCCCAGGUAAGUGCCAGUGACAGAUAAGGGUGCUGAAGGUCACUCUGGAGUGGGCAGGUGGGGGUAGGGAAAGGGCAAGGUCAUGUUCUGGAGGAGGGGUUGUGACUACAUUAGGGUGUAUGAGCCUAGCUGGGAGGUGGAUGGCCGGGUCCACUGAGACCCUGGUUAUCCCAGAAGCCUGUGUGGGCUUGGGGAGCUUGGAGUGGGGAGAGGGGGUGACUUCUCCGA
rnacentral:lncRNA from 10 species